GUAAAACACUAUAACACUUUCACCGCUGAUGCUGGCGUGAGGAUUCGAGAAAUCUAUCAGUACACUGAGGACACACUGUUUGUUAUGAGCAACAGAAAAAUGAUGAUGUUUCCUAGUUCCAACUGUUCAGAAUUCAGAACAUGUUCUGAAACGAUGUCAGGAAAAAAUCCUUUUUGUGGUUGGUGUGUACGAGAAGACAGAUCAACAAGAAAGAAUGAUUGUUCCAAUACUACAAAUCACUGGCUAUCCUCACUGGGAGAAUGUGUAUCGAUAUCAUUGAGCCAAUGGGAAUUUCUGU